AGAGACAAGACAUCGCACAAAGCUGAUAAACUGGAUACAUUUAAAACAGGAGGCUACACAGCUGCUGGACACAGGAAAGGUCAAGCCAUGACAUCACAGAGCAAGUCCCGACUACACAGAGUGACUCACGGAGAGACAAGAUAUCGCAAAAAGCUGAUCAACUGGAUACAUUUAAAACAGGAGGCUACACAGCAGCUGGACACAGGAAAGAUCAAGCCUUGGCGUCACAGAGCAAGUCCCGACAACACCUGAACCCACUGAAGCAGAUUUGGUCUCACCAACGUGCUACAGAAGACUGACACCAUCAGACGAGCAUCAGCCUCACAAUGGAGUUGAGGAAUGGAAUCAUCUACAUGUCAAUUUUAGCCUGAGCAUGCUGAAAUGGUUUCCACAGAUUUGAAGCAGUGACGAUUAGCAAGAGGUAAUUGGGUAGCUGUUUCCAAUAGCGAUAUGGACAAAAUUAGUAAGUAUUAAACCACAAAGGUAUGUAUAUUACUUAUGAGGCAGGGAGCCCAAGCUCCAUUUAGACCUAAUGAGACAGCAACAUGCUUCCCCAAUGCUUCUACUGUUCCCCACCACCAGGCUGGAUGUUAUUCACAGAUACUGUGUCUAUAUAUUGACAUCAAGUACCACACUUGUUGCAGUUCCAGGCUCUUGCACACAGGUUGGUUUUACUUCAUUGGCAUUGAGAAGGAUCCCAGUCCAUGCAUUUCCUCCAACUGACUUGCUGCAACGGUGCAUAUGCGGAUGAGUGUUGAUGAUGUUUCUGCAGGAACCUGAUGAUGCAGCAUCAUGCAGAUAUGUAUGCACGAAGAAACACCAUCUUUGCCUUCCCAAUUCAUGCAACUGAGUGAGCUAUCUAGCUCUGAGAUGUUAGUGGCAACUCAUGCCAGAAUUAAUCUUGCUCUCCAGGUGCAAUCAGCUAUUGACAGGGUCUUUUAUCAGUCAUCUACUCUCAGUGCAGAGAAAGGCAAUGGCACUCUAGACAGUUCAAUCGCAAUAGUCUAUUACCCUAGAGGUCUAUACUUGGCCAGAGGACAUCUUCGUUCUAUGGGGUGAUGCUCCUGUUCACAUCUUGCCAUUUGACUUGCACCAGGCACGUUCUUGACCAAUGUGGAUUAUAGCAUUAACGGAGAUGAUACUGUACAUUUUGUGAAGUGGUUAUAUCUUCUCGUGUAGGACAUGGCCUGGCAACUAGUGUGGCACAAGAGCUCCCAGCUAUUUGUCUUUCCAACCCUGAAUGUUGAUGAGUUUAAAUAAUACAAACACACCGGAUUAUUUAUUAUCUAAAGAGUUGCAGCAAAAUCCUAGAUCGUACUGAAUGAGUGUGGACAGCCUAACUGAUCAAGCAACUUAGAUGGUCGGACCCAGGACAAUACCCUGAUAAACAUCAGCAGCACUGUCCAGUGAAAGAGAGAUAGCAGAUUUGCAGUUGCUAUUAUCCUUUCCACAUCUGCCUUGAUGGCAAAGACAGUCAAUUUCAUCUAACCUGUAGAAUUCAGCGCAUUUGUUAGUUACAGGACCAAUGCAAAAAGAACCUGUUACCUGCGAGUAAAUGCUACAAUACGACAGACAGAAUCUGCUAAUCAUCAACGCUGAACAUCUGUAUAUUCUCUGGAGAGAAGGAAACUGACGUUUACGGGUUGAGACCCUUCUUCAGACUGAUGUCAGGUGAGUGGGGGGGACAGAGAUAGAAUGUAGUCGGAGACAGUAAACUGGGAAGGGGAAAGGGGAUGGAGAGAGGGGGGAAAGCAAGGGCAAGAAUGUGAGAAAGUGGAUCCAGUGAUCCGCUGUGCUGGAGGUUUUCUGAUGUUUGAUUUGUUUAUUAUAUUUGAGUUUCCAUCAAAGUUGAAGUUGCACUGGCAAAAGUUAUCUGCUUGGGUUCAAAUGAGCUUGGAUAUAACUAGAGCAUUGUCGGAAGUUGCUGUUAAGUUUCUGCAGGAUGGGAGGACAAAUCAAUCUGAUUCCCCAAGCAUUGUUGUAACUGCGGGUAGUGGAUUUUGGAGCAAUGACCAACACCAUGGACCACCCAGUGAUGCACGAGACUUGAGCUUUCUCUUCGACAUGAGCAAGUGAAGUGUGUUCAUUUCCAAUUUCAUUCUUUUACUCUGUCACCUUGUACAAAGGCAUUGAUAUUUGGGUUUCUAAACUCCACCAGGAUCUACAUCCAGAUGUUGAAGCUUCUUGGCUUCUGCUGGCUACUUCCUACAACACAUUGACCCUUAACUUCACCUUGACAACUGGCCUUCAUCUGGUAUGACUGAUGCAUGUUCCAGCAGGGAAAUGGGUUUAACAAUGUAACAGCACUCCUGUUGUCGAUGCAAUACGAUGACUACUCUUCAGCAUGGGUUUGAUUUACGCCUUCACUUCAGGGAAUAUUCCACAAUGGUGUUAAGAUCCCACUCAAAUUCAGCUCAAUGUCAUAGUCUUACAACACUGAAUCAAGCUUUUCCAAGAACUACGAGCCCAUGCCAACCAUCAAACAUCCAUUUGCACUAAACGUGAACUAAUCCUAUCUAUUGUCUCCAUAAUUCAACAACACACCCCAGAUUUCACCAUUCACCUGCACACCAGGUGAACCGCCUUUGGUGGCCAAUUAACCUACCAACCCAUGUCCUUGGGACAUGAAAGGAAGCAGAUACAAUGUGCACAUGGAAUAUGCAAACUCCGACAUCAAAGAACAGGAUGAAGCUCUAUUCACUGGAGUUAGUAGGCAGUAGCUCUAUUAACUGGAUCACGUUGAGUGGAUGACUGGUCAUGCAAGGUCAUUUCUAUACAAAAAUGCAUCCAUAGAUUUUGGAGCUAGAUUUUGUAUCUAUGUUGUUCAGGAGCUCUAGGGCAACGUGAUUUUGUUUUCCAAAUGAGCAGAUGGCCAACGAUAGCUCAAAACCACCAUACCUCUGCCCAAACCCACUGUCAGAUCUGUUUGGGACACAGGAUCAUCCUUGAGACUCAUCCUGAGGUUUUUUUAUCUACGACUCAUCAGGUUUUUAAUCUAGUUUCACAUGCCAAUGACAAUGGGGCUGACUGCAUCCUGAUUUUUUUUUUCCCUGGGAAGUGGAAUAUGUGUUGCAAGGGCCAUGGCUUAACAACAGGUAGGUCCCAAGCCAAAUCUGGUCCUUGGAUCUCUAAUCCCUGGUCGUGAGUUCAUUCUGGUCUCUGGGUCUUGAAUCUCUGCUCCUUGAUGGGAGGCAUCACCUGCAGUGUUAACUCGUGUUUCUAUUUUCUGAUGUCUGCAUCAUAUUUCAUCAUUUUCUGAUUUGUUUUCUUUAUAAUAUCAUUUGUCUUGCCCUUGAUUGGAAGUCUAGUCCGGCCCCUUCCUAGUCUCAUCCACAGCUUCUGUUUGGAUCCAACAUCAGGUAAGUUCUGAGUCACCUUUUGGUCAUAUGCUUGGCAUCAGAAUGCUUGUGUUCCCACGCCUGGUCUUCAGAAGUAAGUUUUCUCUUCUUCUCCUAAUUUAGAAGUGCAUCUUGCAGUGACCACACCAGCCAUUGUUAAUGUGUGUGUGACAGGCCAAAGAAUACUCGAGAUGUAAAGGAAAUGAGGCAUCCCAUAUCAAAAAUAUGUGAACAGACAAUUUUCCUUUCAGAUAUGGGUUGUUCCAUUGCAUCUUUUCCUUUCGGCAAUCUAAAUGAUUCACCCCAUUUCAGAUAAACAACCAAAGAUACCCUGGCAACAAUCUCAAUGAAUACAUGGGAAUGUUGAGAUAAUAUGCAAACUAGUAAUUAAUUUUGGACUGACCAAACUUUAAUCCAUUCAGCUUCCAAAACAACUGAAGCAAGGGUCUCGACCCAAUUCCUUUUCUCCAGGGAUACUGUUUGACCCGUUGAAUCACUCCAACUCUGUGUUCUGGGAGCCUGCAAAAGAUCCAAUAGAAAACCCAUAAAAUAGAGGACAGUGGUCCAGCAACUUUCUGGGAACCAUGAUAAGCAGAAAUUCUGCAGCUUUGUCAAGGCCAUCUGAGAUUGGCCAUAGAAUUUGUCUGCAAUUGAAUCGAAGAUAAUAUUUCAAAACAUCAAUGCCCUUCAUUCCAUUCGACAGAAAGAUUCCAGUCCAAUCUGAAAGGUGUUAAGAAACUUCAAGAGCACUUGUCUUUAGUGUCCAGACAGAGGAACUGAUGAAAAGGCACCUUGAGGACAUUGCCAUGAUCCAACAUCUGAAACAAACGACAGAGGUCCAACAACCUCUUGCUGGUAACUAUCAUAAACCCAAAUUCAGCAACAUUGUCAAGGCCAUCUGAGAUUGGCCCUUGAGUUUGUCUGCAGUAGAAUCAGGGACAGCAUUUCAAAGACAUGAAUGCCCUCGAGUCCAUCCCACAGAAACUUUCCCGUCCGAUCUGAAAGGUGUUCUUGAAGUGUUCUAGAGGAGCCGGAUGUAAGAGUACCUUUAUUUCAGUCAUUCACUGGCGGCCAUUUCUGUUGCAUGCACUGCCAACACAAGAGAAGCACCUGCCUUCCCCUCUCAGUACAGACCUAUUCUAAUCAGUUGUGAAGGAUGCUCCAACCCGGGUCUUCAACAAGAUUAUGUGGCUUUUCUCAUUCUUUGAUCCAAGUUGCCUAGUUUCUGGUACACAGCAAUAUAUUAGAGCUGAAGUAACUCUAGUUAAUCUUUAAGUUUCCUUAUAACCUUUGGUUCAGGAGUCCACAGUACAAUGGUAAGUAAUUCUAAAAACAUAAAUAUGAGCAGUGUUUUUUCGAAAGGGUAAUUUUAUUUUUCAUUCUAAUACCUGCAACAAAGUUCUGGAACUGUCUAUUUGAUUUUUUUAAAAUUAAUUUAUCUUGUGGCUUCCGUUGAUGUAAUGCCUAUCAUCUUUUGGAAUUAUCUGCAUUGAAUGCUCACCUUUUCAUCUUUUCUUGGCCUCGGUUCCAUUUGACUAAGCAUGGCAGCAUAUCUAAUGAAGCCUGAAGAUUUAUCCAAGGCACUCUCCAAAGUUAGGUUUGUAUUAUACAAGUGGAAUAAAAAGGAGGAGGUUAUGGCUCAAGAGGAUUUUUCCAGGCAAAAUCUAUUGAUCCAUUCUGACAAUUAAAUCCACAUUAUUCCCCUUCUACUGCCUCCAUUUGUGUAGACAAUCUCAGUAUCUGAUGCUUCAGUCAAUAACACACCAACCUCCAGGAAAACAGAUGGUGAUGUUCCAUUCAAAAAAAAAUUGUGAUUAUUUUAGUUCAAGUUGUGAGGAUGAACUGCAGACAGGAUUUAAUCUAAACCAGAUUUCAAGAUGUUAAGUUCACAAGGAACCAGCAAGGUGGAAUCUCUCCUGUUGCAGUGUUUCAACCUGAGACGUUGACCUUUCCUUUUGCUCCCCACAGUUGCUGCUCAAUCUGUUUAGUUGCUCCCCCAGAUAAGUGCAAUUGAUUUUCAAAACAUUGGGUUGUUGUGGUCUGACUGAUCUCCUGGACUAGUUUUGAUCGCCUAAGGGGGUCGGAGAGGAAUUUCCCAGGGUUUUUUUACCCCCAAAUUGGCCAGGGGGUUUUGUCAGCUGGGUUUUUGCCUCUCCCAGGAGAUCACAAGGCCUGAGGUAGGUGUUGGUCUAAUGCUAGUGAUGCUCUGGACAUCACAGCAGUGUAGGGACAGCCUGGGAUGACCAUGGGUCUAUUCUUGUCUGUUCUGGUUCAUAAGCUUUACAUCAAUCUGAUAUUUGGAAAUAAAAUUGGAAGUAAAAUGCA